UGGGGAAUUUUGGACAAUGGGCGAAAGCCUGAUCCAGCAAUGCCGCGUGUGUGAAGAAGGCCUUCGGGUUGUAAAGCACUUUUGUCCGGAAAGAAAUCCUUGGCUCUAAUACAGUCGGGGGAUACGGUACCGGAAGAAUAAGCACCGGCUAACUACGUGCCAGCAGCCGCGGUAAUACGUAGGGUGCAAGCGUUAAUCGGAAUUACUGGGCGUAAAGCGUGCGCAGGCGGUUUGCUAAGACCGAUGUGAAAUCCCGGGCUCAACCUGGGAACUGCAUUGGUGACUGGCAGGCUAGAGUAUGGCAGAGGGGGGUAGAAUUCCACGUGUAGCAGUGAAAUGCGUAGAGAUGUGGAGGAAUACCGAUGGCGAAGGCAGCCCCCUGGGCCAA
rnacentral:rRNA from 1 species